GGUGAAAGUGGAGACGGACGGCAGGAUGGAUUCACUUGGCGACAUGGCGGGGAGCUGGGAAGACGGACACCGGAACGUGAGGAACACGAGUAGUUCAAGAAAAUGCUGAAGAUGCGCUUGGCUGGGAAGCUAGGAUAGGCUGACGAAGUCAGACUUAGUGUGGGAACCUGGCUGGGAAAGGGUUUCUUCUGUCCAUAAAAGCUACUCCAAUGGCUGUGGGAGACUUAAUUCCAAUUCCAGGUGAUACAGCCGUCAGUCUCCCACUAGCUGUAGGAUGGUGUGCUGCAGUUCACAGACCUAAGUCAAUGUUAGUCUACCACUGUACGUCUGGUAACCUCAAUCCCUGCAACCGGAGCAAAAUGUGAUUCCAGGUCUUGGCAACCUCUGAAAUUCCAACUCCAUUUGCGAGAGCUUUGAGGAGGCCAUAUGCUGAUUUCACCACAAGCAACUUCACAACCCAGUACUGGAAUGCCAUCAGCCAGCAGGCCCCUGCCAUUAUCUGUGACUUCUAUCUGUGGCUCAUUGGAAGGAAACCCAGCUACCGAAGGAAGAUACCCUCAUCAACCCAAUUUUACAAAUGGAGAAAUAGAAGCUCAGGGAAGA
ensembl:lncRNA novel transcript